CAAAAACAGAAACUGACCUAACUUUUAAAAAUUUCUUAUAAUCCACCUUCUAGAAAUGAAUAACAGAUUGGUCCUUUUUUUCUAAAAUGGCAAUAAGCAUGGUUUGAGUUGACCCCCUCAAAAAUCACCAAAUCCUUUAAUCACACUAUUUUUUGCAACUUAAAAGGAAAACAAAUACAGCAGCUUAACACUAAUUUAUUAUGAGAUCAAAUCCCUCAAAUUUGAAGUGACUCCAAAGAAUUUAUUGUAAACCACAAAUAUUGCGUUUUUUGCACGAAUGUAGCAAACCAUAUUCCUUUCGAAGUAAAAGAAUUUAUUUUCAACAAAGAAAACCGAACACAUGAGGUACAAUUAUAUAAAGAACUUAUUAUAUGUUCUAUACCAACCAUUUUCAUUAUGCAUAAAAUAUUUAGGCCUUUCAAAAAUAAGACAUUAUGUUUCAAAAAUAUUAACUUAAAUUUAUAUAUAUUAUUAAAUAAUAAAAUUUGCAUUCACUAAAACAACAAUUUGCAUUAGAUGCAACAAUUGUAUCCAUACUACUUUAGGCAAUUCAACAAUCGCUAAGACUGCUUUAGGUAAUUCAAGUUUCAAUUUUGUGUUCCAUUAGCCAAUACAUGAAUCCAUACUACACAAACCAACCUGCUAACCAAGAUCUUUUAGUUUCUCCAAAAGAAAAACAUGUUUUUAUUCCUUCCUGCUAAAAGAGCUUCACCAAAGAAAUUCGCCAUGUAUUACUUCUGAGCCAACUUCUGAAUUUGCAACUUGAAUACCAAGAUUCUUUUCUAAAAUAAAAUCUAAAUAACCUUGUCUUUUUCCAAAUCCUUCUCAAAUUUCACCUAAAACUAACAAAACUACAGCAUGCCUCUUGAGACUGUUCUAGGGGUGAUCACAAAGCAACCAAACCAACAGAAAUUGAAAGAAUCUGACUUGGACAUAGUCACGGCCACCAAUAACAUAGUAAACCCAACACCAACAACAUUUCAUUGCUACUACCAAUCCUGAAAUAUAAUACAAUUAAUAGUGGCCAAGAAAGUCCAAAAGCUUUAUGCUAGAGAAUCAACGUUUAGAAUGCAACACAUACAUGGUGCAUAAAUAACAAAUAAAGGGAGAUCAGAGUAACCUCUACCAACAUCCAAAUAGGACAUAUACACAGGUGUUAUAAAGAAGUCGAAGGAAAACAGGCAGGAUAUUGGUUUUCAAAGACAUUUGCACGUAGCCAAAGCCCAGAGAAUCAAUCAGUUUUAAAAAAUCCACAAGUAAAAAUUUCUCAAUUCUUAUCGCCAUAUUUGUUGAGUACAAACAACUUGACAAAAAACACAUCCAAACUACAGAUCAUAUUCAUUGGUUCUAAAAGUUUCUAUCCACUAUACUGGCCACCAAGUAGAAACAACUAACAAGAAAUUCAAAUUAUUUCUCAACAUUGCUCAAGACCGAACGUGGGAAGAUUUCUGAGAAAAAGAGAAGAACCUUACCGAUUUCUCCGACGGCAGAGGAGUGCGACGGCGUGUUUGGCGACGGUCGACGAGUACGACGGUACAUGAGCGACGGCAGAAGGGGAACCUUCGGGUCCUGGAAGUUAUGCAAACUAGGGUUCUUGAUUUGGGGGAAUUUCGAGGAAAUUUGGGAGUGAAAAAUGAUGUGCUUCGGGUAUGGGACAAAUUGGAGG
rnacentral:lncRNA from 1 species